GCUUUUUGGUUAUUUUAUUAAAGGUGGUUUCUGCUCAGUGAUUUUAAACAGCCGCGGUAAUUUGACCGUGCGAAGGUAGCAUAAUCAUUUGCCCUAUAAUUUGGGGCUUGUAUGAAUGGAUUUACAAGAGUUUUGCUGUCUUAAAAAAAUGGUUAGAAUUUGUUUUUGUUGUGAAGAAACAGCGAUGUAGUAAAGGGACAAGAAGACCCUUUUGAUCUUAACUUUUUUUGGGUGAGGGUUUUUUAAAAAAGUUUGGUUGGGGCGACCUAGGAAGAAAAGAAUCUUCCUUUUUUAAAGUACUUGUGGUCCAAAGUUUUUGAUGGAAGGACUAAGUUACCAAAGGGAUAACAGCGUUAUUUUUUUUGUGAGUUCUUAUUAAAAGAAAAGAUUGCGACCUCGAUGUUGACUUAUGAUUUCCUUUUGGUGCAGUAGCUAUUUUGGAGGGUCUGUUCGACCUUUAAAAUCUU
rnacentral:rRNA from 1 species